GAUGAAGAACGCAGCGAAAUGCGAUAAGUAAUGCGAAUUGCAGAAUUCCAGUGAGUCAUCGAAGCUUUGAACGCACAUUGCGCCCUUUGGUAUUCCGAAGGGCAUGCCUGUUCGAGCGUCAUUAUCACCCCUCAAGCCCUCGGCUUGGUGUUGGACGGUUUGGUGGAGGCCCCCUCGGGGGCUCCUGCCCCUCCCAAAGACAAUGACGGCGGCCUCGUUGGACCCCCGGUACACUGAGUUCUUCACGGGACACGUAUCGGACACCUGGGUUUACGGGACACGGUCUGCCUCCCCUCAGGGAGAAUCUUUCUAAGGUUGACCUCGGAUCAGGUAGGGAUACCCGCUGAACUUAAGCAUAUCAAUAAGCGGAGGA
rnacentral:misc_RNA from 1 species